rnacentral:snoRNA from 1 species
AAUCCAUGGUGAGGGCAUUCUCUGUGGUAGUCAUUGAAGCGCUCCCAUGCAUCGUAGAAAAGCUCACCAGUGAGCUGUUUGAAGGAGGUGAUCUUGUUCCUCAAUGC